AUACGGAGGGUGCAAGCGUUACUCGGAAUCACUGGGCGUAAAGCGCGCGCAGGCGGCUUGAUAAGUUGGAUGUGAAAGCCUACGGCUCAACCGUAGAACUGCAUCCAAAACUGUCAAGCUAGAGUCUGGGAGGGGAAGAUGGAAUUAGUUGUGUAGGGGUAAAAUCCGUAGAGAUAACUAGGAAUACUAAAAGCGAAAGCGAUCUUCUGGAACAGUACUGACGCUGAGGCGCGAAAGCGUGGGGAGCAAACAGGAUUAGAAACCCGAGUAGUCC
rnacentral:rRNA from 1 species